CGGGCAGAACCGGAGCGUGGUCGGGGAGGAGGGCUUGUCGUCGGAGCGGAGGGUUUGGGGGCUAGGGCAUGGUCGGGGCAGGGGUCUCAGGGCCGGGAGCCAAGGUCUCACGGCCGUGGGCGUGGGCUGAAGCGGGGGAUCUCCGGGUCGUGGUCGGAGCGAGGUGGGGGCGGUUCCGGGCAGGGGCGUGGUCAGUGAAGGGGCCUCCCGAGCUGGGGUCUCUUGGGGGCGGGAAGCAGGCUGGGGACCAGGAUCUGGCGGCUGGAUUGCGUGGUCCCCAGCGGGGCAGCCCGACACGGACCACACAGUCCCUGGGGCACCGGGUGGGACCCACACUUGCCAAGCAUCUUGAUGGCUCCAUUGUAAAAAGGCGACAAAGGAGACCCAAGGCUAAUUGAAGAAAAUCUUUUAUUCAACACACUGGAUACACACGCAGGCCACAUUUAAAUGUUAUCAGUGAAGUGUUUUCGCGACUGUAAACCUGCGCCUGGGCGCACAGUAGGCCUCAGCGCCGCCGGCCACCUGCCCAGGAGAGCUAUGCCGGUGUGGCCGGCCAGGGCUGAGUGGGCAGAGCCAGGGGCAGCCCCGCCAGGCCGCCCUUCAGCUGCCCCGCCCGCUCCGUUAGAACAGAGGGCAGCCCCCACCUGCACGAAGUGACAGGCAGCUGCGCCCUUGCCAAGGAAAGCAUCCCCUCUAGUGAUAAUUGGGGGAUCCUGCUUACAGCGUCCGCCUCGCGUCACCACCAAAACCCUUUGACUUGGAAACUGAUGUCUGAUUCAUUCAGCACGGGUAGCGGACAGACUGAAUUGGGCCCACCCGAACGUGAAAUCUGCACGUGCCAAGGAUGCCCUUCGUAGAAAGCAAAUGCAGAGACAUCACUGAUGCCUGGAACCUGCCUCCUAAGCAGUGGCAUUGCCUGUUCACCUGUCCACAGGCUGCCUCUCCCGCCUCACCUCCACCACCUCCGCACCCCUGCGUGCGUGUGCGCUGGCUCACUCAGAGGCUGUGCCUGAGUCGGAGAACACCCAGCCCCUGCCCUGGCACCCUCCUCGCCCAGCACCCACCCUCCUGGCUCCCCUGUCUGGCCCCUCCCCACCCCCGUCUCCAAGCCCCCAGCGGGCCUUCCCACUUGGUGGACAGGCUUGCCCUCCACCUCCGGAAGGAAGGAUUUGCAGUCCUUCCUCCACCCAGCCCACCGCCCCCUCUCGGUCCCCGCCAUCAGCUCACAAGCAGGCUGCAGUGUCUCAUAUCCUGUCAAGUCCCCCUGUGUCUUCCGCCCCUCUGCGCCCUCCCGUCUCUGCUCCUUUGCUGCUGAUGCUUCUCCUAGGAGCUGGCCAGUCUGCCUCAAGUGCCCUCAGCUGUGCUGCCCGCACCCUGACGGGGCCAUUCUCACGGUUAGUGCUGGCCUCGUCAUUCAGCAGCCAGUCCCCAGCCCAGGCUCCCACCCACCCGAUUACCCCCCAGAAAUAGGGUCUGCCCGCUGAUGAGGACAUUUGCAGUCCUGGUCCUCCCCCUGGCUGCCCACCCCCUCUGCCUCCUUUGCUUGCCCCUCCUGGCACCCUGCCUGAAGUCCUGGGGUCCCCAGGCUUGGUCCCGGCUCCCCCUUCCUGUGUGCACACUCCCUGCUGAUGGUCCUGAGACGAUCGCUUCACACUCUCUCCACGUGUCUGCUGCUGCGCUGGGAAGGGCUAUCGCAACCCCCGCAGACGGCAACGGGUUCCGGAUUCACCCCUGCCUCCCGAGGCUCACACUCCCAGGUGCCCACCUGACGAUGCGUGGAGCCCAUGGCCACCUCGGGUCCUUGGCAGCCUUCUUUGUCUCUCUGCCCCAGAGGCAGCUUCACUGGCUUCUUCCGGCCCUUCGGCCUCUCACAUGCUCCUUCCUCCUUCAGACCCCCUGACCCACCGAGCACAGCACCAUGUCAGCUUUCCCUUCCCCUCUGCCUGUUGACCGCACCCCCCCCCCCCUCAGGCACACAGGUGUAGCCUGCCACCGAGAAAGAACAAAUAUGUGCCACGUGAAUAAAUAACCUGUCAGAGCCCUCGCCAUGCCCGGGUCCUGGGGGCCUGACUUUCAGAGACGCUGACCACUAACAUCACCGAUAUUAAAAGCCACACUCAUGAAAUCACGGGUAAAAGGGAGGCUUACUUUUUCUUGUGUGCCCUUCGUUACCUGUGGAAUGCUGUCCCAUGUCUAUGUUUCCUUUGCCAAAAUAAAAAUAGCAUUAUUUAA